rnacentral:rRNA from 1 species
GCGUGAGAGCGCGGACCCCCACACUGGCACUGAGAUACGGGCCAGACUCCUACGGGAGGCAGCAGUAAGGGAUAUUGCGCAAUGGACGANAGUCAGACGCAGCGACGCCGCGUGGGCGAUGAAGGCCUUCGGGUUGUAAAGCCCUUUUAUGGGGGAAGAGAAAAAGGACGGUACCCCAGGAAUAAGUCCCGGCUAACUACGUGCCAGCAGCCGCGGUAAAACGUAGGGGACAAGCGUUAUCCGGAUUCACUGGGCGUAAAGAGCGUUGAGGCGGUUCCGUAAGUUGGGCGUGAAAGCUCCGGGCUUAACUCGGAGAUGUCGUUCAAUACUGCGGGGCUUGAGGACAGCAGAGGAAGGUGGAAUUCCCGGUGUAGUGGUGAAAUGCGUAGAUAUCGGGAGGAACACCCGUGGCGAAGGCGGCCUUCUGGGCUGUUCCUGACGCUGAAGGCGAAAGCUAGGGGAGCGAACGGGAUUAGAUACCCCGGUAGUCCUAGCUGUAAACGAUGGAUGCUGGGUGUGGGGGGUGUAAAUUCCCUCUGUGCCGAAGCAAACGCGUUAAGCAUCCCGCCUGGGGACUACGGCCGCAAGGCUAAAACUCAAACGAAUUGACGGGGGCCCGCACAAGCAGCGGAGCGUGUGGUUUAAUUCGAUGCUACACGAAGAACCUUACCUGGGUUUGACAUGCACGUGGUAGGGAACCGAAAGGGGACCGACCUUCGGGAGCGUGCACAGGUGCUGCAUGGCUGUCGUCAGCUCGUGCCGUGAGGUGUCGGGUUAAGUCCCGUAACGAGCGCAACCCGUGCCCUUAGUUACAAGUGUCUAAGGGGACUGCCCGGGACAACUGGGAGGAAGGUGGGGAUGACGUCAAGUCAGCAUGGCCUUUAUAUCCAGGGCUACACACACGCUACAAUGGCCGGUACAAUAGGUUGCGAAGUCGUGAGGCGGAGCCAAUCCUCAAAGCCGGUCUCAGUUCGAAUUGCAGUCUGCAACUCGACUGCAUGAAGCUGGAGUUGCUAGUAAUCGCAGGUCAGCUAUACUGCGGUGAAUACGUUCCCGGGCCUUGUACACACCGCCCGUCACGUCAUGGAAGCUGGCAACGCCUGAAGCCGGUGAGCUAACCCGAAAGGGAGCAGCCGUCGAGGGUGGGGCUG